UUUAAUAUCAAUACUGCUUAGUGUUCUUUGUUACUUCAGCUUUUGUAUUUUCUAAAUAUCUGCUGUCAUUAAUUGCCACAGAAGUUAAACCCUACCCAAUGGAAUGACAUUAAACAACGACUUUGGUGCAGAGUUACCAACUGGAUAAUAUCAAAGCUAAAAUAAUGGCCGUCCUUCCCACAUGUUACAGUAGAAGAUACUCUAGAACUGUACAAGGUUAAAAAGGUAACAUGUAGUUUGUCCAAAGGUAUCUGCCUCCUCACCCAGAGCAAGACCUCCUCACCCAGAGCCAGACCUUCACCUCCUGUCAGAAGUCCUCCAGAACAGGCGAGGCUGAGAGGCUGGGGACCGGACGCUUGUGGUUCCAGGAUGGACCGGAGACUGAGGCUGGAGACCAGGGGCCUGCAGCAACGGACCAGAGGGUAACCAUCACCAAGCUCAUCUGAAACACUAAAAUCCACGACCAGGAAUCCAUGGCUGAAGGAGCUGAUGGAGGAGCCAUGCUGAAGGAACUGAAGGAGCUGAUGGAGGAGCCGUGCUGAUGGAGGAGUCGUGCUGAAGGCCCUGGCUGGUGGAGGAGCUGGUGGGGGCCCUGCCUGGUGAUGGACGUCUGUCGUGGGACCAGGACUGUGUCUGAGGAGAGCUGCUGGAGGAGCUGAGACGCUGGAGGAUGACUAGGAUUCGACCAACAAGGAUUCCUCAACGUGUUUCUGGAGCGGAGGCGAGCUGGUAGGGGAGCCGUGAAUCUGGAGGAUGACCAUCACUCUACCAACAAGGAUUACCAGGACUGGCUGAGGAGAGCUGAUGGAAGAGCCAAGACUCUGGAGGACGACAUCACUCUACCAACCAGGAUCCUCGCAAUCACACCUGAGCUGACCCUCACCUGAGCCUGUUGGGUCGGGGGUAGACGCACCUGAGCUACACCCGCCCUGAUCCUGACAUCCUGCUGGCCCGGUCUCUUCUUGACCACACAUGUAACCGUGUGCUUCCACAUGCCUUUCCCUCACGUCUGUCACUAACCUCACUACUUCACUACUCUCUUCUGCUUCCUCUUUUCUUCCUUAUCUGUGGUUCAAACCUUUACACUGAAGGCGCGUCUUCCUGCCCUCAGAGGGUUCAGCGUUAGGGUUGAGAGUCAGGGUUUAGAGUCAGGGACAGAGCUGGUCAGGGAGGACUGCUUUUACACAAACCUCUUCACUUGCUUUCGGAAUGGUUGUGACAUUUUGAAAAGAUUCAUUUGGGAAAAUGUUUUCUUCUGCUUUCCUUUACAAAAUUGUAUUAAACUUCUGUCAAGUGUUAUUGUUUAUAUAUUAAAAUCCCAAAUUGACUUUA